rnacentral:pre_miRNA from 1 species
AUAUGAUGGUGAUGACGAUGAUGAUGAUGAUGAUGAUCCUCAACAAUAACAAAUGCUUGUUGACCAUCAUCAUCAUCAUCAUCAUCCUCGUUUAAU